UACGUAGGGUGCAAGCGUUGUCCGGAAUUAUUGGGCGUAAAGAGCUCGUAGGCGGUUCGUCGCGUCGGCUGUGAAAACCCGGAGCUCAACUCCGGGCCUGCAGUCGAUACGGGCGGACUAGAGUUCGGCAGGGGAGACUGGAAUUCCUGGUGUAGCGGUGAAAUGCGCAGAUAUCAGGAAGAACACCAGCGGCGAAGGCGGCACUCUGGGCCGGUACUGACGCUGAGGAGCGAAAGCGUGGGUAGCAAACAGG
rnacentral:rRNA from 1 species